CCUACGGGUGGCAGCAGUGGGGAAUAUUGGGCAAUGGGCGCGAGCCUGACCCAGCAAUGCCGCGUGAAGGAAGAAGGCUUUCGGGUUGUAAACUUCUUUGACAGGGGAAGAGCAGAAGACGGUACCCUGAAAACAAGCCACGGCUAACUACGUGCCAGCAGCCGCGGUAAUACGUAGGUGGCAAGCGUUGUCCGGAUUUACUGGGGGAAAAGGGCGUGUAGCCGGGAAGGCAAGUCAGAUGUGAAAUCUGGAGGCUCAACCUCCAAAUUGCAUUUGAAACUGUUUUUCGUGAGUACUGGAGAGGCAGACGGAAUUCCUUGUGUAGCGGUGAAAUGCGUAGAUAUCAGGAGGAACACCGGCGGCGAAGGCGGCCUGCUGGACCGCGACUGACGUUGAGGCUCGAAAGCGUGGGGAGCGAACAGGAUUAGAUACCCUGGUAGUC
rnacentral:rRNA from 1 species